GUGCACAUCUUUAGAAAAGAAUAAAAUAAAUCUUUAUUGUCCUCCAGGGUGGACAUUUUUCUUUGGCUCACCAGACCUACAAGACAGAUAAACAUAAACACAACAUCUCAGACAUAGUAAGAAUAUCAUAAAAAAGAU